rnacentral:rRNA from 1 species
CACGCAGGCGGUUUGUUAAGUCAGAUGUGAAAUCCCCGGGCUCAACCUGGGAACUGCAUCUGAUACUGGCAAGCUUGAGUCUCGUAGAGGGGGUAGAAUUCCAGGUGUAGCGGUGAAAUGCGUAGAGAUCUGGAGGAAUACCGGUGGCGAAGGCGGCCCCUGGACGAAGACUGACGCUCAGGUGCGAAAGCGUGGGGAGCAAACA